AGUUCUAUUAUGUUUGUGGAUUGAAUGUGGUUAUGUGCUAAAUUACAUAUCAUGCUCUAUGAAUUGUUAAAGUCAAAAUAUGACUAAGUUAAUUGGGUAUGAAACUCAAUUUAUAUGUGAUAUGUGAUAACACAUGUUGUAUGAUAUAACACGAUAAUUGGAAAUGUAUAAUGCAAGAAUAUAUGCAUUGCACAGAAUUACUGACGCAUGUAGGAUAUGCAUAGUAAAGAAUAUAUGUUGCAUGCGGAUAUGCAUAGUAAAGGAAAUGUAGUGCAUAUGGAAUUGUGUGUUAUGUGAAACAUGAUAGACUGUUAAAUUUGCUGGGCUGUCGAGCUCAACUUUGUAAACAUAAAUUUUUUGCAGGUUAAUGAUGCUAAGCAAUAUUACUUGCUAUACGGAUGAUGAAGAUUGAACGAUAUGCAAAAUGAAUACAUUUUCUUGAAUUAGAAAUGGUAUAAAUUUAGGAUUGAUAGUUUUGUCAAAUGUAAUUGGCAAUUAUGUAUAGUUUAAAAUGUUGAAUGGAUAAAUAAUGUUUAUUCUGAAAUGAGAAUAAAUAUGAUUCUAGUAUAAAGAAAAAUUGUAAAGGUUGCGAUUUAG
rnacentral:lncRNA from 1 species